rnacentral:rRNA from 1 species
AUUAACGCUGGCGGCGUGCAUGAGACAUGCAAGUCGAACGGACGGGCGAGCUUGCUCGCCCGUUAGUGGCGGACGGCUGAGUAACGCGUGGGUGACCUGCCCCGAAGUGGGGAAUAACUGCCCGAAAGGGUGGCUAAUACCGCAUGUGGUGACUGGUUCGUUCCAGUCUCCAAAGCCGCAAGGCGCUUCGGGAGGGGCCUGCGUCCGAUUAGCUCGUUGGUGGGGUAACGCUCACCAAGGCGACGAUCGGUAGGUG